UGGUGGAGUGAUUUGUCUGGUUAAUUCCGUUAACGAACGAGACUCUAGCCUGCUAAAUAGACGGGAGAUCCCGUUGUGGGUCGACCCGAUUGCUUCUUAGAGGGACAAGUGGCGUUCCCAGCCACGCGAAAUUGAGCAAUAACA
rnacentral:rRNA from 1 species